rnacentral:lncRNA from 1 species
AUGGCGACUGCGAGAGAGAUGGUGAGGUUGAGACAGAGAGAGAUGGUGAGGUCGAGAGAGAUGGUGAGGUUGAGACAGAGAGAAAGAUGGUGAGGUCGAGAGAGAUGGUGAGGUUGAGACAGAGAGAGAUGGGUUUCAAACAAAAAGAGAGAGGCGGCUUUCAGACACUUACUGAAAAUGAAAUGGUGUGUUCAGACACUUGGUGAAAAUGAAAUCAGACAAUCCUUGGUUGCCCAUGCAAAGGGUUUGUAACCUAGCUAAUUGGAAAGGGUGUGUUCAUCAGACAACAUACAUAUAUUGUCUGAGUUGACCAAUUAAUACCAAUCAUUAUUCUAAAUUAACCAAAACACUCAUUUGUGUUGACUUUGAAAAGUAUUGGUCACACGACAUAUAUAUGUCGUUUGAAGUGACUAAGCAAGACUCGA